GGCAAAGCGCUAAAAAAUACAAUUACAAUAUAAAAUACAAAUUACCCGUUUUAAUAAACCUUCCCGGUUUUUCUGCCUUCAGUAGAUCACGAAAUGAAAAAACUACCCUUUACAGCAACAAAGGCAAACAAACUCUUGAAAACCCACUACAAAAUCCACUCUAAUACAAUAUACAAUAUACAAUUACAAUAUAUUGUAAAUUUUCUUUGACCACUCGGGAAAAAUAUUUAAAAUCAU